GGAGCCCAAAAACCUCAAAGAGGUGGACUUGGAUGACUUGAAGAAAAACGACUUUGUCGCCAAGAACCAAAAGCGGUACGUUGUCUUUGUCGGCAACAUCCCGUACGACACGACCAAGCAAGACCUGCUCGAGCUCUUCCAAAAGUGUGGAGAGAUCAAGCACGUGAGGAUACCCACAGAGAAGAAAGGAGACAGGCCUAGGGGUUUUGCAUACGUCGAGGCUGCCAACGAAGAAACCUAUCAGAAAUGUCUGUCCAAGCACCAUUCGUUUUUGAAAGGUCGCAGAAUAAAUGUUUUGUACACCCAGUCGGGAAAAAAGAAGGGGGACGACAAAAAGAAGGAAAUCAAAGCGAAAAACUUCAAACUGGACGCUCUGCGGAAGAAGGGGAUUUUAUUGGGUAGCAAAAAAGAGAGCCAAAGGAGAUCAUUUCGCAGGAAGAAGCAGCAUUUGAGUAAGAAUGCUGGAGAGGAAGGAAGCUAGGUAGUUAGGUGGGCUGCUUUUUAUUUUUAUCAGCUGAAGUUUUUAUUUUUGUCAUACUGACAUGUAGUAUGUAAUUUUUAUUAAGGUUAUUGAAAAUAUAUGGAACUGAAACAUA